rnacentral:piRNA from 1 species
UGGAAUGACUCUAGAGUUGACAGGGAAUUC